rnacentral:rRNA from 1 species
AGUGAACGCUGGCGGUAGGCCUAACACAUGCAAGUCGAACGGCAGCACAGUAAGAGCUUGCUCUUACGGGUGGCGAGUGGCGGACGGGUGAGGAAUACAUCGGAAUCUACUUUUUCGUGGGGGAUAACGUAGGGAAACUUACGCUAAUACCGCAUACGACCUACGGGUGAAAGCAGGGGAUCUUCGGACCUUGCGCGAUUGAAUGAGCCGAUGUCGGAUUAGCUAGUUGGCGGGGUAAAGGCCCACCAAGGCGACGAUCCGUAGCUGGUCUGAGAGGAUGAUCAGCCACACUGGAACUGAGACACGGUCCAGACUCCUACGGGAGGCAGCAGUGGGGAAUAUUGGACAAUGGGCGCAAGCCUGAUCCAGCCAUACCGCGUGGGUGAAGAAGGCCUUCGGGUUGUAAAGCCCUGUUGUUGGGAAAGAAAAGCAGCAGGUUAAUACCCCGCUGUUCUGACGGUACCCAAAGAAUAAGCGCCGGCUAACUUCGUG